rnacentral:rRNA from 1 species
UACGAAGGGGGCUAGCGUUGCUCGGAAUCACUGGGCGUAAAGCGCACGUAGGCGGAUUUUAAGUCAGGGGUGAAAUCCUGGAGCUCAACUCCAGAACUGCCUUUGAUACUGGGAAUCUCGAGUCCGGGAGAGGUGGAGUGGAACUGCGAGUGUAGAGGUGAAAUUCGUAGAUAUUCGCAAGAACACCAGUGGCGAAGGCGGCUCACUGGCCCGGUACUGACGCUGAGGUGCGAAAGCGAU